CAACUUUCCCAGGGCUAUCUAAAGCUCUUUGUGUUCGACUCUAGCAGUUGUGCCGGGACUGUUGCCCUUUUCUGGUCCUUCCGGGGGGUGCUUUGGGGAUUUACUUCUCUGUUCAUCUUUUCUCUCGCCACUCGCUAAACUUUGUUCCGUUAGCAGCUUCUGAGCGUCUUAAGAAGCGAGUCAUUGGGUGGAAGUUUCUCCCGGGGACCAGACCUGUGGCAUCAGUUCCGGGUUAUUCUCUGCGUUCAUUGUCGCUUGACCAUGCUAGUCCACCUAUCGCUUUUCACUUGCAUUUUUUUUCAUACUGUCCAUUGCCGGUUUGUUUGCUUAAUAGAUUAUAGUUUGGUUUGUGUGUGUGGCACAUGCGAAUCGGCGGGGUUGUAGGGUAUUUGAGCAGGGGGGUUUGGUAUAUGAGAAUGGCGGCUUGGGUAUAUGAGAAUGGGAGUUUGGGUAUAUGAGAAUGGGGGUUUGGUAUAUGAGAAUGGGGGUUUGGGUACAUGAGAAUGGGGGUUUGGGUAUAUGGGGGAGAUGUAGUGUUGGGAGCGAGUAGUAACUGAACUGCGGAGGAAUUCAUUUCCGUGCUUCAUUUGGAAACAAUGGACCUUCCUUUUCCCCAAUGCUUAAUCAGUGAUCCGUGGCGGGAUGGCCAUUUGGAUAUUUUACUAUUCAAAUUGGCCAAACACGCCGCGGAAGCUGAUUAACUAAUGGAAUUUGAGUAAUUAACGUUGUUUUAUGAAUAAAUAAUGAUGUACAAUGCAUAAAACCCUAGUUUACAGGUUGUAACUGCUCUUUCUGUGCUGAUCGCCAAGACAGAGAAAGUGCAAGAUAAAGAAA